rnacentral:piRNA from 1 species
GUGGAGCCAACAAGAGAUGCUGCAG